rnacentral:misc_RNA from 1 species
GAUGAAGAACGCAGCGAAAUGCGAUAAGUAAUGUGAAUUGCAGAAUUCAGUGAAUCAUCGAAUCUUUGAACGCACAUUGCGCCCGCUAGUAUUCUGGCGGGCAUGCCUGUUCGAGCGUCAUUUCAACCCUCAUGCCCCUAGGGCGUGGUGUUGGGGAUCGGCCAAAGCCCGCGAGGGACGGCCGGCCCCUAAAUCUAGUGGCGGACCCGUCGUGGCCUCCUCUGCGAAGUAGUGAUAUUCCGCAUCGGAGAGCGAUGAGCCCCUGCCGUUAAACCCCCAACUUUCCAAGGUUGACCUCAGAUCAGGUAGGAAUACCCGCUGAACUUAAGCAUAUCAAUAAGCGGAGGA